CACAUACUUCCUCCGUCCAACAAUGUAUGUCUCAACUUUAACUAAAUUUAAAUGCAUCUAUACACUAAAUUAGAUACAUUUAAAAUUUGACAAACUUGAGACAUCUUUUGUUGAACGGAGGGAGUACUAU
rfam:Brachypodium distachyon strain Bd21 chromosome 4, whole genome shotgun sequence.